AGUGAACGCUGGCGGUAGGCCUAACACAUGCAAGUCGAACGGCAGCACAGUAAGAGCUUGCUCUUACGGGUGGCGAGUGGCGGACGGGUGAGGAAUACAUCGGAAUCUACUUUUUCUUGGGGGAUAACGUAGGGAAACUUACGCUAAUACCGCAUACGACCUACGGGUGAAAGCAGGGGAUCUUCGGACCUUGCGCGAUUGAAUGAGCCGAUGUCGGAUUAGCUAGUUGGCGGGUUAAAGGCCCACCAAGGCGACGAUCCGUAGCUGGUCUGAGAGGAUGAUCAGCCACACUGGAACUGAGACACGGUCCAGACUCCUACGGGAGGCAGCAGUGGGGAAUAUUGGACAAUGGGCGCAAGCCUGAUCCAGCAAUACCGCGUGGGUGAAGAAGGCCUUCGGGUUGUAAAGCCCUUUUGUUGGGAAAGAAAAGCAGCAGGUUAAUACCCCGCUGUUCUGACGGUACCCAAAGAAUAAGCACCGGCUAACUUCGUG
rnacentral:rRNA from 1 species